GGGGCACGGAGCUUCCUGGCGACGGCGCACCACGGUACUGCGGCGGAGGUCGUACUUCGGCGAGAAAUUCGCCCGCGCAACAGUCCGAAGUCCGCCCGAAGAUGGUCCUCGCGCCUUCCCCGAUCGACGGCGAUGCUCCACGGCCACCCGCGGGCACCGUAGGUCUGGCCAGAGUUGAUGCCCACGGCGUCCCUCUUUCCGCCGACCCGCUCACCCUCGAAUACUCUCACUCUCGUCGCGAUGGUGCGCCAGGGGUUGCGAAGAUGGAGUAGAAGGCAAGCCGGAACCUCGUUGCAUCAUGUAGGGAUAGCACGGUCGAGCAGGAUCAACGGAUUCCCGAGUUUGGUUCGCGCGGGGACUACGGCAUGAGCUCCGCAGAUCCCGGUCAGGUUCGGUUCACCGCGAGGAAUUGGGGAGUUCGCUCCGAUGCUGACGCUCUAGACCCACCAAGCCGUGAGAUGGUCAUGGAGGGCAAGAGUCCCGGCGUGCGCGAGUCAACCGGCGAGAUCCACGGUGGAUACGGAGCUCGGCCCAGUCAUCGCGAGCGCGGACUCGGGGAAGAAGGCGGACCUGACCAGUGGGUCCCGCGUGGCAGUGGGUUCACGGCGCGGUAAAAGGGAGCGCUGACGAGGGUGGCCCGCCGGUCAGUGCAACGGUGAUGGGCUGGGCGCGGGUGAAGAAAUGUCUAGAUGGGCCGAAAGGAGGGGAGCGACCCAAUACCAGGGUUUAUUCUUUUUCUUUUUUUCCUUUUCUAUUUCAAAUUCAAAUUUUCAAAUCAAUUCCAGGUUUAAGUUUCCAAACUUUGUGGCAAGUUUAUUCUCAGUUUAUAUAUUCAAUUUGAACUUACCAAUAUAGGAUCUAUUCAUUAUUUUGUUUAUAAAAAUGCUUUUGAAUAUGUUACUUGUAUAUUUCAAGGAAGUGUUUAUAAAUAUAUUACCCAUAUAAGGAACCUUUUAUAUACCCUUUUAUAAAAGAAAACAUUUAUUUAAAAGAAAUGUGUCUCUUUAAUAGAUUCCUCAUUUUUUUGACUGAUUAGAGUUUUAGAACUAGAUUCCAGGGUUUACAAAUCCUACCCCCCUUAACAGAAAUCUCGUCCUCGAGAUUAGUAAGAGGAUAUAGGAAGAGUGGUUUGCAAUUUAGCUUUUAGUUUCUAAUUAGUUCAAAAUCAAGAGUCUCUCUUUCUUUUCAUUAGUAAGUGAUUAGGAGAGCAGAGGUAUAUAUAUGUAUGUCCACAUAAUUAUGUAGGAUAGAAGAUGUCUUUAAAGCAUAGAUGGGUUUAGGUAAGAAAGUGUAGGGUAAGAAAAGACUCCAUCCAAGAUUUGUGGAUCUUGACUCAUCUUCUUCCUUGCCGAGGUUGAGCUGUUCUUUUUCAGACCUUGGUAUCUUCAUUCUUGGGGUUGCCACCAGAGUUAGGGACCUAUGGUUAAGAUAGAUUUGUGGGUGACAAGUAGGUAGAGCAGCUAGUUUAGUGGGUGGCUUAGGAGUUAAAUGAGAUUGGUCAAAAUUUGGUUUGGUUGUUUGCCUCUAUAUUGGUUGGAUAGGUUAUGUAACCUAUUAUGUGGGUCAAAAUCUGGUUUGAUGUCAAGUGGUGGUUGAUAGAUUAUGCAAUCCAUUAAGACUUUAUUGAUUGGGUAAGUUAUGUAACUUGUUAUAUAGAUCGAGUUGUUGUGUAUGGCCAAGUUGAUAUAAGUUUCCAAAUUAGGCUUAAGUGAUUUAGGAGUAUGGUCUUAUCUUGUGUACCAGCAUUAAGUAACACACACUAGAUUAGAUCAUGUUAGGUUAGAUGGGAUCUAGAUUAGAUUGGUAUGACUAGUUUGACUAGAUAUGAUCUAAUUAAUUUGCAUUAGAUCAUGGUUGUUAGAUUAGGGUGGAUAAGUAUGCUUAUUAGGAUAAGAUAUAUCCAUAAAGAUAAGAUAGAAUCUUUUGAGACCAGUUAGACCUAUUAGGAUGAAAUACAAUCUUUUCAAGAUAGGGUGAGUAUCUUUUAAGAUAAGAUGGAUCUAUUAAGAUAAGGGAGAAUCUUUUAAGAUAAGGUGAAUUGGUUAGAAUGAGAUCUUUUAGGAUAAGAUAAAUCUCUUAAGCUAGAUAUGUUCCAAUGGGGAAUAAUCUAGGUUGUCUAGUUACUUUAUAAAUAUAUUUUUAUACCUAUGUGUAUAUACAGAUGCAAUUGUGGACAUUACUCCACAACCCAUCACACUCAAUCAAAGAUCCAAAUCAGACAGGUAUCAUAAGAACAAACAUUCAAAUAUAUAAACACUCAUAAAAAUAGUUUUGUUUUUGUUCCUAGGAUUAGGUCUCCUAUUCCUAAAGGUCACUUUAGGCACAGGAUUUCAAAGUGUGAAAUCCAAGUUUGUCUUUAGAAGGAAAAGGUAAGGAUAAUCAGAGCAAAGCGGAAUUAGAUGAGAAAAGAUUAAGAAAAGUUUAGAAAAGAAUCAGAGUAGCAAAGGUAAGUAGAUAAUGGUUGUCCAGUUCUGUCUAGGUUUCGUCCUACAGUCAACAUUCCUCUGAUACCACUUCUGUAACACCCGGAUUUUAGGGGGCCAAAACCCGGGCGCUAACAUAAACACCAGGUAUGCUGGGACCAAGUCUCAUACAUAUGAUGUAUAGUGGCACAGGAUCGAAUGUCACAUCUUUAUAUAUAACAGGAGUUCUAUACAAAAUAAAUAAUUACAUUAUAAGGAGACAACGGUCCAGCAACCCAAAGUUGACUGGGAGACGACGACCUAGACCUCUCACGAACUCAUCACAGCAUCCUCCAUGAGCAUCAUCCUGCAGUACCUGGUCUUGACCUGUGGUGUAUGUGAGACAGCAAGAGUGAGCUCACAUACGUUCAUCGCUCAACAAGUUGUGGGGAAUAAUGUGCAUGAACUCGCCAAAGGUGGGAGCUCACGUGAAGUGUAAGGCUUACCAAAGAAGAUGGUUAGAGCUGAGCAUUGCUUUUAAAGUUGGUCAAAAUUUUAUUAGCAGUUACUAAGUAUAAGUAAAUACCAACCCAAUUAAAUAGUAGAACAAAAGUAACCACAUCACCUGCAAUGCAAUGCAUAUGACAAAUUGAGUUUAGUUCCAUAAAUUAAUCAUGUGAGUGUCCGAGCCGCUCAUGACCGUGAGCACGGCUAGUAUACCAGUUUUACACUCUGCAGAGGUUGCGCAUCUUUACCCACAAGUCGUGUAUCCCAUGUCGCCAGGGUUUGCAAAGCCCUUAGACACUUCCGAGGUGAAUGGCUAGGGAUCCACUACGAGGCCUUUACAAAGUUCCACUAGCUUCCGAAAACCCGCUACAGUUUAUAGGAAGAUCCAGUACAGGAAUCCCUUGCAGGACCGCCAUCACAGCAAAAUCCUCCCGAGGGCCUCCCCAGGAAUCCCUUGCAGGACCGCCAUCACAGCAAAAUCCUCCCGAGGGCCUUCCCAGGAAUCCCUUGCAGGACCGCCAUCACAGCAAAAUCCUCCCGAGGGCACUUCCCGCACUGACCUCUCCCCUACUGCCCUUGCCCCUUUCGGGUAAGGUAGUCUUCCACUAGCUUUCCUAAUUAAUCAGCCAAGGGCGUCCCAUUAAACCCUUGUGGUAGCACUGUUUUCCCGGGUGGUUCUCCAUGUUCCAAUUAACAUAAUGAUCUCAAUAUGAACAAUAAAUAAUAACUGAUAACAAAAGUGUAACCAUGAAUAGUGUAUCUCCAUACCCAAAACCACAUAUAGCACUAGCAAGUACUACCCAGAAAGUUCAGUGGUGAACAAGGUAUAAAGAUAAUCAAACUAGGUAACCUGUUGGGUCCCAUCAAAAUUAACCUAUGCAGAUCAUUAUGAUUAAUCAGAACAUGAGUGGGUAAAAAGAAGUGAUCAAGGGCACAACUUGCCUGGGCCUUGAGAAUCCAGGUACCAGGAUGAUCUUCAGGUGACACGUGACCUCACUGCUAGUCGUAGCAAUUCAAACAAACAUUGUAUAGCAAGAAUUAACAUUACACCAAACAUGUAAAUAAAAUACACAGUAAUAAACUAGACACUAAAAUGAGAUCAUAGGAACUGGAAUCAUUAAUUUUGGAGUUGUAGAAUUCAAGUUAUGGAUUUUCUAAUGUUUUAUGUGUUUAAUACAAGAUUAAGUAUUAGAUAAAUUUAAAUGAGCCUUUCAUGCCAAAACAGAGGCACAAAAUGAUGAAGAAUAUUAUUACAAAAUUUUAGAAACUGGAAUGGUUCAAUUUGGAGCUAAAAUGAAUUUUCUAUGAAUUAUCUAAGUUCUAGCAAUUAUUUUCAUAUUAAAAAUCCAUUUUCUAUUUUAUUUAUUCAAUUUAAACGAGUUCUGGACUGGGCCUCAAUUAUAAGAAAACCGCAGGGGGUUCAGCGCAAGAAACCCGAGACACGGGGAACAGUGCCCGAGGGACGGCGGGUUGAUUCUCUUAUUUCCCGAGGACUCUUUAACAAAAUGCACCCGCGAAGGGGUACCAUCUAAUCUGGACCGUUCGAUCAAACGUUGAUGGCUCGGAUUAGAUCCAUGCCACCGCGAACCGGUACACAUCCCGAGCCGUCGGAUUCAAGCGCAAGGGUCCGGAUUCUAUUUAACUCAGAACUAUUCGUGACCGCGGGAUCGGAAUCGGACGGAUCUCAGUCACCCGAUCGAAUCGUCGUCCAUCAUCUAAUCGCGUCCGCCAAUCGUGCAUCCAACGGCCGAAAAUCGUCGGCCAGCACCAUCAUCCCGAGCGGCGGCGCCACCAUGCGACCCGGACGCGGCGGACGCCAUUGCCAGAGCUCCCAACCCCGCGAUUUAGCGCGCUAUUCUCCCUUCCACGCGGUGCUUCACCAUCUAAGGGGGCUAGUGAACCAAUGUGCAAAGGAAUUCUCACCGGAGGGGGCACGGAGCUUCCUGGCGACGGCGCACCACGGUACUGCGGCGGAGGUCGUACUUCGGCGAGAAAUUCGCCCGCGCAACAGUCCGAAGUCCGCCCGAAGAUGGUCCUCGCGCCUUCCCCGAUCGACGGCGAUGCUCCACGGCCACCCGCGGGCACCGUAGGUCUGGCCAGAGUUGAUGCCCACGGCGUCCCUCUUUCCGCCGACCCGCUCACCCUCGAAUACUCUCACUCUCGUCGCGAUGGUGCGCCAGGGGUUGCGAAGAUGGAGUAGAAGGCAAGCCGGAACCUCGUUGCAUCAUGUAGGGAUAGCACGGUCGAGCAGGAUCAACGGAUUCCCGAGUUUGGUUCGCGCGGGGACUACGGCAUGAGCUCCGCAGAUCCCGGUCAGGUUC
rnacentral:lncRNA from 1 species